rnacentral:rRNA from 1 species
GAUGAACGCUGGCGGCGUGCCUAAUACAUGCAAGUCGAGCGAACAGACGAGGAGCUUGCUCCUCUGACGUUAGCGGCGGACGGGUGAGUAACACGUGGAUAACCUACCUAUAAGACUGGGAUAACUUCGGGAAACCGGAGCUAAUACCGGAUAAUAUAUUGAACCGCAUGGUUCAAUAGUGAAAGACGGUUUUGCUGUCACUUAUAGAUGGAUCCGCGCCGCAUUAGCUAGUUGGUAAGGUAACGGCUUACCAAGGCAACGAUGCGUAGCCGACCUGAGAGGGGGAUCGGCCAAACUGGAACUGAGACACGGUCCAGACUCCUACGGGAGGCAGAAGUAGGGAAUCUUCCGCAAUGGGCGAAAGCCUGACGGAGCAACGACGCGUGAGUGAUGAAGGUCUUUGGAUCGUAAAACUCUGUUAUUAGGGAAGAACAAAUGUGUAAGUAACUAUGCACGUCUUGACGGUACCUAAUCAGAAAGCCACGGCUAACUACGUG